UCGAGGGGAAACGGCAUUAUGUGCUUGCACAUUUUGGACGUCGACCGGCGCACGGGUGAGUAUCGCGUAUCCAACCUGCCCUUUACUUGGGGAUACCCCGUUGAAAGACGGCCUAAUACCCGAUGUAAUUCAUUGAUGGCAUCAGAUAUGAAUAAAAGAUUUAUCGGUAAAGGAUGGGGAUGCGUCUGAUUAGCUUGUUGGUGAGGUAACGGCUCACCAAGGCAACGAUCAGUAGGGGUUCUGAGAGGAAGGUCCCCCACAUUGGAACUGAGACACGGUCCAAACUCCUACGGGAGGCAGCAGUGAGGAAUAUUGGUCAAUGGGCGCAAGCCUGAACCAGCCAAGUAGCGUGCAGGAAGACGGCCCUAUGGGUUGUAAACUGCUUUUAUACGAGAAUAAUUUGAUGCACGUGUGCGUUAUUGCAUGUAUCGUAUGAAUAAGGACCGGCUAAUUCCGUGCCAGCAGCCGCGGUAAUACGGAAGGUCCAGGCGUUAUCCGGAUUUAUUGGGUUUAAAGGGAGUGUAGGCGGUUUGUUAAGCGUGUUGUGAAAUUUAGAUGCUCAACAUUUAACUUGCAGCGCGAACUGUCAGACUUGAGUACACGCAACGUAUGCGGAAUUCAUGGUGUAGCGGUGAAAUGCUUAGAUAUCAUGAAGAACUCCGAUUGCGAAGGCAGCAUACGGGAGUGUAACUGACGCUUAAGCUCGAAGGUGCGGGUAUCGAACAGGAUUAGAUANCCUGGUAGUCCGCACAGUAAACGAUGGAUGCCCGCUGUUAGCGCCUGGCGUUAGCGGCUAAGCGA
rnacentral:rRNA from 1 species